rnacentral:lncRNA from 1 species
ACAGAAAACUUGAUUCAGAAGCCUCACCCUAGCUUUAUUAUUUGCACAUCAUGCAGGGUGCCCAUUGUGGUGAAGGACUGGAUCUUGCUCAAGACAAGACCUGAACUGGAAACCAGAAUCUGGAAGGGGAGCUGCAGCAAGUCAAAUGUGCUAUUGCCUUUCCCUCACCAUACCAUAAGAACUCAAGAACUAGUAACAAAAAAAGGAGUGUGUGUCAGCAGCCAUAGCCCACAAACAGACGGCCCUCUGGGCUCCUUAGGCCCAUCCAGCCAAGGAAGUCAGGCAGCGACGGAGCAGUUCCCAGAACUUAACCAUGGAACCAGCCGCCUCCUCAGGAACCUGCUGGGCAAGUCAAAGAGAGACCUCGAUGGACUUCCAGACCAUGUGAAUAAGGUACAGAUCUUCCAUAACAAGCAUAUUCAGAAGAUGAAAAUGGAUGGUGGAGGAGCACUGGACACACAUUUCAGAAUGCUCUGUCCAGGCAGCAGAAUGUAGGCAAGGCUGUUACCCUCCUUUGGAUGUUGGCAGAAGAGGAUAAUUACCAGCAAUGACCUAAGAGUGCUAUAUAUACUUAUAUCACAUACGUGGUCAUGGAAACCACCACAAAAAACUGCCGUAUUUUCUAAACCAUUAUAUAAAUUUCAAACUAUUAUAUAAAAGUGGCUUUAUACUUCACUGCUAGGGUGCACUAGCCUCUUUCCAUACCAUUCAUAGCAUAGUUACUAUAGUAACUAAUGCAUUGCAAAAGAGAAGAAGAAUCUAAAAAGAGGCUUAAAAAAAACCACCUAAAAAUGAU